UUAUUUAUUAUUAUUAUUUAUGGCAAAUUUUUGUUCUAAAAUUGUGUACCUACUUUUCUAAAACAAUGGGAUUCUUAUUAAAAAUGCGACCAUUACAAUUAUUAUUUAGAUAUCAUACAAUUGUAACUUUUAUAUGUAGGUACUUAGGAAUUUGUACAUGAGAAAACUAUAAUACAGAAAAAUCCUGACCAACGUAUAACACAGUCCUGAAUCAGAUCUGCCCGAGCCAAAGUAUGCGACGUCGCAGCGAGGCAGACCAGUGAUGUUACUCUGCGACUACCGGUUCAACCGCUGUGCGCACAGCAAAGAGCCGCGUGUGCGUUGGCUUUGCCGCCAUUACGGAUGUAGAGCGACUGUGACGACGCGGGAUGGUAAAAUUGUGAAAGCCAAUAACGAACAUAAUCAUUGUCUCGACGUCGCAGCGAGGCAGACCAGUGAUGUUACUCGGCGACUACCGGUUUAACCGCUGGGCGCAUCGCAAAACGCCGCGUGUGCGUUGCGUUGGCUUUUUCGCCAUUACUGGGCAGAGCAACUGUGAUGAUGCGGGAUAAUAAAAUUGCGAAUGCCAAGAACGGACAUAAUCAUUGAAGCUCAUGAUUUAAGAAAAUUUGUUGUUAAAUGCAAAUUAAAUUAUGUAUAAUACUUGUAGAAACUAUUACAAGAAAUAUGUUUAUUACAAAAAUUUCAACAAAACCAUCUUUAAUUCUUAUUUUAAACAACAAGGAAUGCAACCGGAAAAAAUUGUGUAAAAAACCAACCUAUAAAUCACCGUUAAUUUAUCAGUAUUGUAGGUAUGUUUGCACGGUGGUGGUUUAUUACCCGUAAUAUAAUACUAUAACAAUUACCGGUAUAUCUCAUACUAAAUAAAAUUAAGGGAAUUCAAUCAGUAAAUAUUGCUUCUCAUUUUUUUUCAUUUGCAUACUGUCCCUCUCUGUUCUUCAGGUCUGCCCAUGUUCACCGUGUCACGGUCCGGAAACCCGGUGAUGAUACUGGGAUGCUACCGGUACUUUAAGGCAGCCGCGAGCAGAGGCGCACGCCUGCGCUGGCUGUGCGUGAAGAACAGGAGUAAGGCCUGCAAGGCUACCGUUAUCACUCUCGAGGAAAACGUAUUUGCUUUCCGGCAUGAACACAACCAUUGAGUUUCCUAUAAUUUAUAUGGUUAAACAAGUUAAAUAUUUUUUAAAGAGUUUUUUUUUUAUCGAAAUAUGUACAUACUAUCGACAAGCCCGCUGCAGUGUCCAUGUACCCUAAAUAAUAUUAAUAUAGGUUUAAGAACAUUAAUUAUGCCAACGAUAUAAUUAUAAUUAUUACGAUAUAACGAUAAUAAUUAUCAAUUCAGUUAGGGAAUGCAAGCGGUAAAUAUUUACUAGUAUAAAUAUAGGUAAUUUACCGUUUUACGGGUAGUUUCUGUAAAAAAAAUUACCAUCUUUACUUUUUCAAGUGUAAAUAAUGAUUGUCAACAGAUGUACCAGUAUUUACAAUCUCUCGGUACGGGCGACCGGUGAUGCUCGUGGGGCGGUACCGGUACAACAAAUGGGUUAGGAGCAGCGGCCCCCGCGCGCGCUGGCUCUGCGUGCGUAGAAAUAGCAGAGUGAGCUGUAAAGCUACUGUCCUUACCCACAAUGAUAUUUUCCUGGCUUUUCGCUACGAACAUAACCAUUAGAUCCAAAUGGGUCUGAAGCAGCGGCCCCCGCGCGCGCUGGCUCUGCGUGCAUUGAAACAGCAGAGAGAGCUAACCAGGUUUAAAAAAGUACAAAACAAACCCGCGCGGUCGUUAGAGGAAUAAAAUAAUACUAUCAUGAAUUUUCAAGAAUUAUGCUCUACAUGUUUCGGGAUUUUAUUGCAGGGAACGAAACAAAAUAUGACAAGCAAAUUUAGAUGCAUAAUUACGCGAGAGCAGAACGGUUAUCUAUAAAGUAUAUUUCAAUAUAUUUAACCAUUGUUUAUUAAAUAAAUCUACAUCAAUAAGCGUCAUUUACAUUUCAUGUAUGGAGGGUAGAGGUAAGGAGAACAAUCUACAUGUAUGAAAAGUGUCCAUCAAAGAACCCUAAAUAGGUGUCGCCACGAUACAUCGCGAACAAGUUACGAGUAUUGACUUUGAUAUAAAAUUAAAAUGACUGACAGCGCACUUCACUCCGUCAUUAACGUCUAAGCUUAUAUAAUGUCCUUGUGUUACCCUAGCACCACCGGAGACAUUUCGAACUAUUAUUUACAGCUGCCAGCUCAGCCAGCUGGACACUUUAGCAACAGUUCUCCCAUAAGAGAUUGUUCUCCUUACCUUUACCCUCCAUAAUUUCUUAAUGUCAAUCUAAAGCGAAUUUUGCUAUUUAUUUUACCAGAUCAGCCAGUAUUUACUUCAUCCAGACGCGGUAAGCCGGUAUUGCUGGUGGAGGGUUACCGGUAUAAUAAAUGGGCUGGCAGCAAAGGUCCGCGUGCGCGCUGGUACUGUGUCAAAUCAUCUAGCAAUUCACGCAAAGCUGUGGCUAUAACCUGCGAUGAUGUCAUUGUGGCUUUCCGUCAUGAACAUAACCAUUAAAUUAAAUCUACCUACCAACAGGACAAAAAAAAGUUAUAAAUAAAGAUAUGAAAGAAAAAUUUGAUUUUCUUAUUACAGAACCACCAUGAUUAACCCUAGUCUUACCUGUAUCUGAAGGUGACAAUGACAACAGGGCCAAAGAUCAUUAGUGAAUAUAGCCAGGUAUCAAACAAAACUUUAUUUCAAUGCGUCAUAUGUAUAUGACGGGAUUUUAAUUCUACUGAUAUUUUUAAUUAUUGUUAUUAGAUCUGCCAUUUUUCACUACAUCCCGUCGCGGAAGACCGGUAAUGCUGGUAGGGGGUCACCGGUAUAAUAAGUGGAGUGGCAGCAAAGGACCCUCCGCGCGAUGGCAGUGUGUCAAGUCUAGCAGCACCAGCUGCAGAGCAGUCGUCAAAACCUAUAAUAAUGGCAUUGUGGCUUUCCGUUAUGAUCAUAAUCAUAAUUAAUAAGCUGAAAGGAAACAGAAUAAAUGGAUUAUUCACACUCAUCACUAAGUUAUUACCAGUGAUAACAACUGCGAUUUUUGUCACACUUGUACCAAGUUUUUUUUUCACAAUAUUCUAAUGUCCAAUCAAAAAUGCCUAUAUAUACAAAGUGGAUUAUUUCUUCUGAUUUUUUAAAAAUAAAUUUAUUGGUACAGGUCAAAGAAAACGUAUCUAGAUAUUCUAGAUAUGAAUCAAUUUCUAGCCUGCCAACGAUCGGCCAUAAAAAUGCGUUGUUAAUUUUUUUAAAUUAACUUGAAAUAUACUGUUUCAGAUCAGCCAAUAUUUACUACAUCCCGAUUCGGGAAGCCUGUAAUGUUAUUGGGAGGUCACCGGUACAACAGAUCUUCGAAAUGCAAAAGUCCCCGCGUUCGCUGGCCGUGUGUCAAGUAUAGCUACAAGAACUGCAGGGCGGUUGUCAUCACCUGUCAAAAUGAAAUUGUGGCUUACCAUCAUGAACAUAAUCAUUGAUUAAUAGGCUGAAAGGAAAACAGUUUUUUUUUUAUGAAAUUAUAAUUAAAACAAGUUAGUACACAUACCGUCCUUUACAUUUUUAUAGCGGUAAGACGUUCCUAUCCAUUUCUCUAUGCUGCUAACAAAACAAGUGAUCUUGACGCCACGGUCACUGAACAGCUAUCUUGAAGUGUGGAAACCUAAAAAAUUGCGAAUUUGUCGGUGAAAUAUUAAGUAUAGUUGAUAUACAAUCUAUUUACUUAUUAAUAAAGUGUAAUGUUUAUGUAAAUAUUAUUUCCUUUAUGGAAGUUACAAAAUAAACUAAAAUUUUGAAACCUC